GAGGAGAGAAGAGGCUUUCAACGAACGAUAUAUCAUGAAGAGAUAUGUGAAAAACACCUUGAGGAUUGAUUCUAAACAACGUUUACCAUGUUUCAGUCGAUAUUAUGGAGUUAAUUUGGAAAAAAGUUUGGCGUUUUGAUGACUGAUUUUUCGGGUUUUUUUGGUAGCCAAACGUGACGCACCAAACGGAGCGAUUUCUCCUAAACAAAUAAUCUUUCAGGUAAAACUGAGCAUUUGCUAUCUAACUGAGAGUCUCCUCAUUGAAAACAUAUGAAGUUCUUCAAAGGUUGCUACAAGGGCUUGGACUCGUCCGCUUGGCAAAUGACUGUGAAAGGAAAGUUUUGACCCUUGCCUGUCCUGACUCUGAGCCCGCCUGUCUGACCACUCUGCCUGACCCUGAGCCUGCCUGGCAUCCUGACCACUCUGCCUGACCCUGAGCCUGCCUGCCAUCCUGAC
ensembl:lncRNA